UGCACAAUUGGGGUUAAAACGAGGGUCAAUCCACCCCACUCUCCAAACGCCUCUCCUCUUGCUGCCAAACCCAGGAUCCGAGGCUGAGUGCGGUUUGUAAGAUUAUAGCGCUCGGUCUCAUUUAAAGGGCUGUCAGCAUUUCCAUUCUCCGGCCCGUUUGGGGAGGCAUUUAUAACCAAGCCAUAAAAAAUUCACCCCGGCUGCAACUUGGCAUCUGGGAGGCUGCGCUCCAGGCAGGGCGGGUUUUGCAAGCACCCACUCUCAAUUCGCUUGGUUCCUCAGAAGUUAGACCUUUAUACACAUUCUCAACUUCGCUUCUAAGGGCAGCCGGAAAGUGACUGGCCCUUUCUGAUCUUCAGGCAGGUCGGAGUCUCGGCCCUCUCCCGUCUCCGUGCCCUUACGACCCAUCACCUUUCGGGCUUUCUCCUUCGCCCACCUCCUAAACGUGCGCGGAUCCCUUGCCCUCGUCCUAAGACCUCACUGGCUGCAGUGUUCUUUCCUCCCCUCGCUUCCUGCCAGCGUUCUGCUGGAAGCUGUCACCCGGCCCUGCGUCUGGAACCUUCACCCCUGGAGAAGCACUGCUCUUUGCCCAUCGCAGUGGGCUUCAAGACCUCUCUCCCUAGACCUGACCAAGGCCACAGACCCCAACUCAGGGGAUAAAGGAUCCGACCCGGGAGAGGUGACAAGAGACUGCAUCCAGUGUGGCCAAGGGGAGAGGAAAGAUCUGGUGCCUGGGGGCCCCACUAUGGACCCAGUACAUCAAGAUGGUGGUGAUUCAGCCAGAUGUGGGGUCAGGCUCUUGGUCCUCAGCACCAGAGGGCGGACCUGAGAGGCCUGGCAGACAGGUGAGUACAAUCAUGGGUCUGUACAAACUAUGCAAUGAAGCUUUGUCUCACAUUUGAGCAAAGCAAGAACUGUCACUAGGGAAAUGGCUCUCCAAUUUGAAGAGUAUUAAUCACCUAAUUAACCAGAACACCUGCUCAUAAAAUUC
rnacentral:lncRNA from 1 species